rnacentral:hammerhead_ribozyme from 1 species
AUCCAGAUGACGAGUCUCAAAUAGGAUGAAAUGCCCUUUAUCCUGGAU